rnacentral:rRNA from 1 species
AUUAACGCUGGCGGCGUGCAUAACACAUGCAAGUCGAACGAUGAAACUUAACUGAUUUCUUCGGAAUGAUUUUAAGUGGAUUAGUGGCGGACGGGUGAGUAACGCGUGAGUAACCUGCCUUGGAGAAGGGGAUAGCCUUUGGAAACGAAGAAUAAUACCCUAUGAUAUGAUAAUAUCUCAUGAUAUUAUCAUCAAAGAUUUAUCGCUCUAAGAUGGACUUGCGUCUGAUUAGUUAGUUGGUGAGGUAACAGCUCACCAAGGCAGCGAUCAGUAGCCGGCUUGAGAGAGUGUACGGCCACAUUGAGACUGAGACACGGCCCAGACUCCUACGGGAGGCAGCAGUGGGGAAUUUUGCACAAUGGGGGAAACCCUGAUGCAGCGACGCCGCGUGAUUUAGAAGGCCUUCGGGUUGUAAAAAUCUUUUGUAUGGGAAGAAAAUGACAGUACCAUACGAAUAAGGACCGGCUAAUUACGUG